rnacentral:rRNA from 1 species
ACACCAGUUCCCGUACGAUCACCGAAGUUAAGCAACGUUGAGCCUGGUCAGUACCUAGUUGGGCAAACGCUUGGGAAUACCAGGUGCUGUAAG